rnacentral:rRNA from 1 species
UACGAAGGGGCUAGCGUUGCUCGGAAUCACUGGGCGUAAAGAGCUCGUAGGCGGUCUGUCACGUCGGGAGUGAAAACUCAGGGCUUAACCUGAGCCUGCUUCCGAUACGGGCAGACUAGAGGUAUGCAGGGAGAACGGAAUUCCUGGUGUAGCGGUGAAAUGCGCAGAUAAUCAGGAGGAACACCGGUGGCGAAGGCGGUUCUCCUGGGCAUUACCUG